GAUGAAGAACGUAGCGAAAUGCGAUAAGUAAUGUGAAUUGCAGAAUUCAGUGAAUCAUCGAAUCUUUGAACGCACAUUGCGCCCGCCAGCAUUCUGGCGGGCAUGCCUGUUCGAGCGUCAUUUCAACCCUCAAGCUCUGCUUGGUGUUGGGGCCCUACGGUUGACGUAGGCCCUUAAAGGUAGUGGCGGACCCUCUCGGAGCCUCCUUUGCGUAGUAACUAACGUCUCGCAUUGGGAUUCGGAGGGACUCUUGCCGUAAAACCCCCAAAUUUUCUAAUGGUUGACCUCGGAUCAGGUAGGAAUACCCGCUGAACUUAAGCAUAUCAAUAAGCGAAGGA
rnacentral:misc_RNA from 1 species